UUUUUUUUACAUUGAGCAACAGAUGUUGCAAACCUCUAUCUUAAAUAUUCAGGGACUUUUAAUUACAUUUUAUUAUCCCCUUACACUGACCUAGUAAAUUGAAGUUUUUGAAAAUGAUUCAUAUCUGCGCUGUUCUUUUAUCUUCUUCUUUAGCCUCAGCUAGCUAACCGCUGCAGUAGCUUCUUUUGGAUACAUUACUGCCACCAUUUGAUCAUUCUAUUCCUAUUUCUUUCUGAUACAGCUGCUGACUUCAGUCAAGUCUAUCAGGAAUCUCAUAGUCUUUUUUUUUCUGAUUCUUUACAGCUCCAGAUGCCCCGUGUUCUCCCUUCGAACACAUCUUCUUUUGUCCAGGAUAGAAAGAAUGUGGUCCAGCGAUGGACUGGUGAACUGUCCAGGGUGUACGCUGUCCUCACUCAUUUGUUCCGUUGAUGAGCAUCGCUGGAUAACACACAAACAAAAUGACUCAUGCUCCUGUGUAAGUUGGGAA